AGCAGUAAAGCCACACUCUUGUCUUCAAAUGCUUUCGACAUGGCAGUGUUUUAGCAGACGCUGGGCAGCGGCACGCUCCUUUCUUUUGAUCAGUCACUUAGCGGUUCAUAAACCACCGGUGUAAGCUGCUGCACAUGGAGCUGCCGGGGCAAUCCUGAGCACAAAUUGAAUCAAGCCAAUCAUCCCCACACAAUUCAAUCAUUCUGCAACACAAAUAUUCCAUGAGGGGCUUCAUCCAAUUAGAGAGAAAUUGCAUUCCUGAGCAUCAUAUAUCCAUUUCAGCUGCAGAGUUCAUCACAGCCAAAAGUUUUCAGCUGAGCCACUUUAAAAUAAGAGAUUUGCUUUGUAAAUAGGAUUAAGGAAUCAAUCGUAUCUGAGCAGAGAGGCUGAAGCAAUUCUUACAGAUUAACUCUGAUUUUCUGAAAGAGACGGCAGAGCUCAGCGUUUGGAUGAAGGUCACUCCGGGUUUCGCUUUGCUCUGCAGAUCCUGUGAAGAUCAAAAAGGAAUUAAGACGACACCUGCAAAAUCCCAUCAGAGGUUGUCUUCAGUGAUUUUUAAACAAUGCACUGCAGAGCCUCAUACGUGGGUAAAGUGAGCAGGCUGGUGUAAAGAGAAGUCUGCACAGCAGUGUUGGACAGAGAGCGUCUUCGUUUUAGAUUCUCUAUAAAGACAAUUCUUCAACCAAGAAGGGAUUACAAUGAAAUAUGAUUAAAAGUUUAAUUUGUAAUCCUGUACAGAAAGUAUGAUGGAAGAUGCCAAGCAGGAUGCUAAGGGUAU